GCUGACGCUCCCGGCCCCGGCCCCGGCCCCGGCAUCGGCAUCGCGGGCGCAUCGCGGCCAUGGCCAAGGAGCGGCGCAGGGCGGUCCUGGAGCUGCUGCAGCGGCCGGGGAACGCGCGCUGCGCGGACUGCGGCGCCCCGGAUCCCGACUGGGCCUCCUACACUCUGGGCGUCUUCAUCUGCCUGAGCUGCUCGGGAAUCCACCGGAAUAUCCCCCAGGUCAGCAAGGUGAAGUCCGUCCGCCUGGACGCCUGGGAGGAGGCCCAAGUGGAGGUA
rnacentral:lncRNA from 1 species